UCCGGUUGUGGUUUAAGUUCUUAUACUCAAUCAUACACAUGACAUCAAGUCAUAUUCGACUCCAAACCACUAACCAACCUUCUUCUUGCUUCUCAAAGAUUUCAUGGUGUAGCCAAAGUCUGUAUGAGUCUUUGGCUUUGUGUCUUCUAACAAGGAUACAAUUCUUACGCCUUUAAGAUCCAGUUGCAGUUUAAGUUCUUAUACUCAAUCAUACACAUGACAUCAAGUCAUAUUCGACUCCAAAACACUAACCAAGCUUCUUCUAGCUUCUCAAAGCUUUCAUGGUGUAGCCAAAGUUCGUAUGAUUCUUUGGCUUUGUAUCUUCUAACAAGGAAACACUACUUAGGCUUAUAAGAUCGGGUUGCGGUUUAAGUUCUUAUACUCAAUCAUACACAUGACAUCAAGUCAUAUUCGACUCCAAAACACUAACCAACCUUCUUCUUGCUUCUCAAAGCUUUCAUGGUGUAGGCCAAGUCCGUAUGAGUCUUUGGUUUUGUUGUUCUAAUAAGGAUACAAUUCUUACGCCUUCAAGUUCAGGUUGCGGUUUUAGUUCUUAUACU
rnacentral:sRNA from 1 species